AUUGAUGUUCUGCUGCCUCUCCUCCUCUUCCUCUCUCAGGAUGAAGAUGAUCUCCAGGAUCCUGCUGCUCCUCAUCCUCAGCUCAUGUCUCUGUGCAGCAACAUUUGUAGUGAAUGUGACACAGAGCAGCUAUCAGGCAGAGGAGAACCACAGCAUCACUCUGGAGUGGACCUUCACCACCAAGACUCAGGGAUCCUGGAGGGAUCUGUUCAUCAUCUGCAGGUUGUUGGCUCCUCAUAAAGAAUUGAUCUUUAUCAGGUCCAUAAUGGUGUUGAGGUGUCAGAUUCUCAGGAUGAACAGUUUUCAGGACGAGUCCAGAGUGACAAAGACGUCCUCAGAGAAGGACGAAUCAGACUCCAUGUGUCCAGACUGAGGACUGAAGACUCUGGUCUGUAUCUGUGUGACGUGAAAACUGAAGAUGGAUUCAACUCUGGAAGAUGUCGACUCAACGUUACUGCAGCUGCUGAUUAGAUCCAAACUCAGAGACCAACUUUGACUCCAGAACCAGAGAGACGAGGAAGGAACAUCAUCUUCAUCUUCAUCAGUCUGGGACUGACAGCAGCUCUAAUGGUUCUAAUAAUAAUAUUGAUUAUUUGGUUUAGGAAGAAAAGGAGAAAAGAAACCAAACUUUUUGACAAAGAACAGAUUUGUUUGAACUUGUUCUGUUUGACUUAUUAGAUUUUAAUAAUUAUGACUUUGAGCCGUUUAUUGAUUUGCUUCAGAUUCAUGUUUUAAAUAAUUUCAAAUGAUUUUAUUCUGUUUCACUUUAUGUGUUUAAAAUAUUGUUUUGGAGGGACCAAUGGUGACAACAGUGGUAGGAGUUUGUCCUGAAAUUAGCAUGUUGCUGCUUCAAUCUGCCUCUUUCUUAAUGUCCUUGGACAAGACGCUUCACCUGCCAGUGGCUCCGGUCCAUAGUAGCCUUGCCUCUGCCAAAUUGCUCCAGGGCAGCUGUGGCUAUUAUCCAGUAUUUGUCACCAUCAGUGUGUGAAUGUGUGAAUGGAUGAGUGACUGAAUGCAGUGUGAAGCACUUUAGAGUCAACUGGUCUUGAUAAAGAGCCAUACAUGUACAAGCCAUUUAUAAUUUUUUAUGGAAAUGGUUAAUUAGAGCUCUAAUUUAUUAAUUCACAAAUAUAUUUAAACAGUCUUGUAAUUUUGACCUGUGUGUUUUUGCUUUUUC